ACCAGUCCAGUCUAGCAAUUCAGGGCAACAACGACGGCACUGAAAAAUCAAUUGAAGGAUGCCCCGGCUCCCACAACGGAAAUCAUUUGAUAUCAUCCGCUUGGCAUUACAUGGCUGCACAAACAGACCCUUUUAUCACAUCGUUCUUACAAAAAACACAAGACCUCGAGAUGCACCUCCUUUUGAACAGUUGGGAACAUUUGAUUCCAUGCCAAACAUUCACAAUGAAAAACUUGUUUCCCUGGACAUCGAACGAAUAAAAUACCACCUUGCUAACAACGUUGCUCUCAGCAAGCCUGUAGAAAAAUUAUUAGGUCUUGGAGGAUUACUGCCAGUUUUCCCAAUGAGCUACACUAUCGCGAAACGAAACAGAAAAAAGAUGGAAGCAGCGACAAACGAUACAGAGGAGCAUUUACAGGAGGAGGACACAGAGAAAAGUCAAUAACUGUUGAUACAUUAUUGUAAAUAGUAACAUGUCAUUUUUUGUUGGAUUGCAUGUCCCUCAAAUAAAUACCAUUACAAAUUACAAAU